rnacentral:rRNA from 1 species
UACGUAGGGUGCGAGCGUUAAUCGGAAUUACUGGGCGUAAAGCGUGCGCAGGCGGCUGUGCAAGACAGAUGUGAAAUCCCCGGGCUCAACCUGGGAACUGCAUCUGUGACUGCAUAGCUAGAGUACGGUAGAGGGGGAUGGAAUUCCGCGUGUAGCAGUGAAAUGCGUAGAUAUGCGGAGGAACACCGAUGGCGAAGGCAAUCCCCUGGACCUGUACUGACGCUCAUGCACGAAAGCGUGGGGAGCAAACAGG